AAGUCGUAACAAGGUUUCCGUAGGUGAACCUGCGGAAGGAUCAUUACCGAAAUUUAAAAAACUCACAACGCGAGUCUCGUGCGGAAGCAAAUAUGACUGCCGAGACUUUGUGACUCUUCAAGUCUUCCUUUGCUCAAGUCAAACCACACUCGUGAAGCACAUGUGACGAGUCUGUGGUGAGCAUCGGGAGCACUGCGUUUCCUUCGGGAUUCACAGUCUAAAAAACGAAUUGUAAAAGUAAUAUAUCAAACGAAUUGUAAAAGUAUAUAUAUAAACAAAAAAAGACGAAAAAAUCAACCUCGAGUGGUGGAUCACUUGGCUCGUGG
rnacentral:misc_RNA from 1 species